AAGCCAUUCCUCUAGCCCCCGACUUUGUAAUGAUCCAGAUAGACUAAACAUUCGCUAUAUUAUGACCAUGGAUGUGUCCCCAGACUAUGUCAUUUCUUUCCUGAGGUCUGGUUUUAUAAAUGCUAGUGAUAAAC
ensembl:snoRNA SNORA72 Small nucleolar RNA SNORA72